GGAUGAGCCCGCGUCUCAUUAGCUAGUUGGUAGGGUAAUGGCCUACCAAGGCAACGAUGAGUAGCUGGUCUGAGAGGAUGAUCAGCCACACUGGAACUGAAACACGGUCCAGACUCCUACGGGAGGCAGCAGUGGGGAAUAUUGCGCAAUGGGCGAAAGCCUGACGCAGCAACGCCGUGUGAGGGAUGAAGGCUUUCGGGUCGUAAACCUCUGUCGGAAGGGAAGAACGGGCAUUGGUCUAAUAGGCCUUUGUUUUGACGGUACCUUUAGAGGAAGCACCGGCUAACUCCGUGCCAGCAGCCGCGGUAAUACGGAGGGUGCAAGCGUUAUUCGGAAUUACUGGGCGUAAAGCGCACGUAGGCCGUUUUGUAAGUCAGGGGUGAAAUCCCACGGCUCAACCGUGGAACUGCCUUUGAAACUGCAGAACUUGAAUCCUGGAGAGGGUGGCGGAAUUCCUGGUGUAGGAGUGAAAUCCGUAGAUAUCAGGAGGAACACCGGUGGCGAAGGCGGCCACCUGGACAGGUAUUGACGCUGAGGUGCGAAAGUGUGGGGAGCAAACAGGAUUAGAUACCCUGGUAGUCCACACCGUAAACGAUGGAUACUAGGUGUCGGGGACUUGAUCUUCGGUGCCGUAGCUAACGCGUUAA
rnacentral:rRNA from 1 species